rnacentral:lncRNA from 1 species
CCGGGGGUUGUGGUGACUGAAGGGCCCAGGCAGGACUCUGGAAGCACUGGUAACAGUUUGUCACUUGAUCUGGAUGAACACCAGCGUGUUCCGUUUUGGAAAUCCUUUCAGCUGUACUUACCCUAAGUUUUCAAAAGCCUCUUGGUUUCCAGUAGGUUGUACCUGCCUUUGCGGAUCUCACAGAAUCCGCCCAUUUGUUCAGUUUCUAGGAUCAGGGAACACUUGCCUUCCAUUUUUAUUAUUUCAGGCCUCACACAUGCAAAUCUAACUGGCCAGGACUGACCCAGAAGGAGGGAGAGCUCUGGUCCAUGGGUCUCCCCUCCCCAACUGGCAGGCUUUGGUCAACAGCGCUCAGAAUGAAAGGAAGGUGGUGGUGCUGGCUUUCAAGUCUCCUCCAAAUGCAACUGACCCAGGUCUGCCUGUCCUCCAUUAGCUUUUGCUCGUUGGAGAGGGAUAACACACCGCUAAGAAAAAGACUUGUUCUGAGAGUGAGGACUGCCCCCGGAUUUUGUAACCAGUUGCAACCACCUGAAAGCAGCUCUGGGGAAGAGGUCAUUGAAGAGUCUUUCCAGGUGGAAAGCGAAGUAAAUGAACUCUGGGGUGGUGUCUCCCAACUCUCACUUCCAGCUCUCCUGUGUUUGUAGACUCUGUGUUCCUAAACAAGGGAAAAUACAGCCACAACCUCCAAAGGACAAGUGCUUAUUCAUUCCUUUAAUUUAUCUUUAUUGAGGAUGUUCCAUGUACAGUGGAAGAAAAAUUGAAAGUGAAUAAAGGAAGCUGAAGAUGUUUAAAGAUAUAGUUGAGAAAUCUAAAGCCUAAUGAAUUGUUUUAGAAGAGGAGUUUAAACAAAAUAGGACUACUCA